GGAGAGAUCCCAGCCAGAACAGCAAGAGACAGAUUAUGGAGGAUCCAUGCACGGGUUCUAGUGCUUCUCAGGAGCCCACUAUGCCUUGGACUGCACUGUAUACUGAAAUGGAGGGAGCUCUGAUCCUCACGGAAGCAUCUCCAUGCAGGGCAGGUAAGUGUGAGCUCAGGGAAUCUUGGCUCAGGGGAGAUGUAGUCUAGGAACAAGGGGCGACACAGGGUGCAUCCCCAAGCCUGCUAGAGUCAGGAGAGGCUUCUCAGUGCAGGGAACACAGCAGCAGCUGACUUUGGGAGGUGGGGUGGAGAGAAUUCCAGGCCUAGGGAACUGUAUAUGCAAAGGCACGGAGCAGGAAACUACAGGCGGCUGGCUGCUCUGGGGAAACUGCCACUAGUGGAUGAGAAGGAGAAGGAAGGAUGAACAGGAAGGAGGAGCCAGGAAAACAGGGCUCCCUACAGUUUACACAGCACCGAGAGCAGUCAAGUGGAGGAAUUUUGGUAAUGCUCUACCUCAGUCACUCACCGUAAUCUAGUGUCCACUGAGGAUGAUUGGGGCAGGGCAGUAUGUGGGGGUGGUAAAGAAAACAAUGUCCCAUUGUGUUGCUCUCAGGCAGAGGCUACCUAUCUAGGGAGAACUGGUCUAACGAAAGAAGAUUUUAUCUUUUUAUAUUCUUCUCUCCUUGCCUCCCCUCACCCCAACCUGUUCACAAGCAAAGGUGGGAGGAGUUCAGUAAAUAUUUAAGCUUAUAGUAGAAACUACUUCCUAGGGUAAUGUGCAUAUUGAAUGAGGUAAUCCACUAGGAGGGCCUGGUACAGUGCUUGCCACACAAGUGCUCAAGAAAUGUUAUCUAUUGUUACUAUUACUAUUAUUAUUUAUACUCAAGAAACAACGGAGGGGGGCAUAGUUAAGCUCCCCAUUACAAUCAAGGGGGUCCUUAUCAUGUGAGUGUGGAGAUAGAUCUGAAUUCUUCAUCUGAACUUUUGGUUUAUUUUGGACAAGUCCCUUCCUCUCUCUGGGCCUCAAGUUCCGCACCUGUAGGAACAUUUUGGAUUAGGAGAUGGCGGGGCUCCUGCAUUGUGACAUGCUAUGAUGCAACAAGCCUCUGGGCCAAAGUGUGUUUAUUACACACAGUUAGUUCUACAGGCAACCAGGAAAAGCAGAGAUGGAAAAAAUAUGGUUUGCUUUAGCUGAAAGGGGAAAAUCUGGGUAAGCCCCUGAGUCAGAGAUCACAUGGAGGCAGAGAGGGCUUCCAGCCUUUGUGGCGCUGGGAGUGGGAAACUUUUCCUCCCUUCCCUCAGGGCAUCCUGUUUCUGGAAAAACCCAGAUUCAGGCUGAAGGUCCGCUUUGGCUUUUGUGCGCCCCCUGGUGUUAAGAUUGGAAGCCUCAGGGGCGAGGCGAGUUAAUGAACCCGCCACACCCAUCUCCAGCUGUGGGUCGCAACAGGCAGGACCCACAAUCUCUGUCCACUAACGCCCUCCUGGCCGCCAGGAUCACACCAGUGAUCAUUCUGUGGCUUGUUUUCUCCCUGAUGCUGCUGUAGCAUUUCACGCUGCUGACCAUCCCUUCUUUUUGGACAUUUCUCCCUUGGUGUUCCUGGUGCUGUACCAUCUUGGUUCACUCCCUUCACUUCUAGAAACUUCUUUCCUGCUCCUCUUACUAAGCUCAAAUGCCACCAUUUCAUGAAGUCUUCCUUGAACAUCCCAGUCUUUCCCUCCGUGGAUUACCUUGUUUGAAUCUUCCUCACGUGUGACUCAUUGACCUUUAUCAUGUUCUCUUGUGGGUACACAUUUUGGUGGUGAGCUUCUCUAAAGGAUCCUUCACUUGAUUAAUUUCUGGGUUCUCCAUAGCUCCCAGUCCCUUGGUGGCCCAUCCAGGUCCUCUGGACACGUGUGUGGAAAAACUGCAGAGGACUGGUUUUUCUCAGGCUUUAGUCCUCUGCCCUCUGCUCCCCUCUAGACUCUCUCUGAAUACUCACCUCCCUCACCAUUUCUCUUUUGAGCUGACCUCUCCCUAAACUCGUCAUGAUAUCCAAGAGCCUGUUGGGCAUUUCUACUUUAAUGGCCCCUCACAUCCUAAUCCCCCAAAUCUGUGAAGAUGUCACCUUACACGUCAGAGGGCAUUUUGCACACAUGAUUAACUUAGGGAUCUUGAGGUGGAUUACGCUGGUGAGUCAGGUGUGAUCAUGAGAGUCCUUACGAGAAAAGACAGGAGGGUCAGAGUCACAAAAGGAGAUGUGAAGGUGGAAGCAGAGGUCCGAGUGGCGUGGGGCCACGCGCCAAGGGACACAGGUAGCUGACAACAGCAAGGAAGCCAAUUCUCCCAUAUAGCGGCCAGAAGGAACAGCUCACUUUAAAUUUCAGGCCUUAAUGUGUUACAGAAGCAAGAGGAAUCUCAAAAUUAACAUCCAGAUCAGAAUUCAUGACCUCGAGGGCCUCCCUGCACCGGAAGCCUUUCUCCUCACCCUCUCAUCUGUCAGCCCGGAAGUUCAUGUCACCUGUGACUGCUUGUCCCUCCAGUCCCACACCUGCUUAAAGAAUGUGGUGCUUGCUUCUGGGUGUCUCUCAUGCCACUGCUGGCAGUUACCACAGAGGCUGUCCAAUUUAGAGAUACGGAAGCAAGGGUAAGGCAGGAGAUAGUGAUUUGUGGCAAAGAUCAGGCCUCAGGCCUUCUGCCUCCAGCUCCGAGGGGGUUUCUCAGCCUUCAUUCCUCCUGCCUCCUGUGGGCCAUGCCCUCAAAGCUCUUCCUCAACCCAACAACCAUCCCACCCUCCUCCAACCCCUUGUCUUCGCCUAUCCAGUCUGCACACAUUGCUUGACUGGCCUUGUGCUGUCACUGGGCUUGGGCUGCUCCACGCCUAUGCCCACCUUCUUUCCAUUGUAUUAAACACACACACGGUCAACGGGAGACCACCCAUGAAGAUGCCAUGGAGAGUUGGCUGUGAAGAGUUGGAUGAGGAAUGAGAGCUCACAGGCCAGAGAACACCAUUCUUUUAUUUUUAAAAAAUGUUUGUUUACUUUUAGAGAAUGCAAGGGAGGGAAGGUCAGAGAGAGAGAGAGAGAGAGAGAGAGAGAGAGCUACCUGGGUCUCGAUCCCAUGAACUGUGAGAUCACUUGAGCCGAAAUGAAGAGGCAGAUGCUUAACUGACUGAGCCACCCAUUCACCCCAGAGAGAACACCAUUCUAAAAUCCCUUUCAGGAUGUCUCUUUCUUCAAGCUUGCAUUCUGUGGCAGGCACUCCUGCCUUGUCCCCUGCCCCUGGCACAGCCCUGCCAGCCUUCUCUCCAUUUGGAGCAAUGGAGCACUCACUUGGCAUUUCCAGUUUGUAGCCUCCACUCCCACUACCCCAGCUUGGCAAAGCAAGUCGUAUUUCUCAGGAUCUGUCCUCUUUAAAAGACUGGGAGGCGGGGAGGGGUUGUAAGUAAUGGAUAUUUAAUCAACUUUUGUCAUACUCCUAAAGCUUUGCUCUGCUCUUCCCUACUCAUUUUUCCUGCUUGAAAACCUCCCAACUGCCCCUGCGUCUACACUGUUUUCCUCGGCACUGUCACUUUCUAACAGAAUGGAGACUUUUCUUAGUGUGUGUACUGUCACUGUCUGCCUCCACCUGCUGGAAGGAAUAUAAGCUCCAGCAGAGUGGGGAGUUUGGACUGUGCUGUUCGCAGACGUGUCCCAAGUGCCUUAAACAGUGCCUGACACACAGCAGGUACUUGGGAAAUAUUUAUUUAUUGAACGUAUGAAAAGCUAAUGUUCCAAUUCUGAAAUCAUCACUAAGGCUCUGGGCCCUCUUAACUGAAACUUACAAUUCUGAUAUUUAUAAUUCUCUUAGGAUCCGUGCUCACUCCUGCAUCUAUGCCCGAGCUCCCACCUCCUCUGUCCUCAGCUGGGACAUCCUCCUCUCUUCCCUUGUGUGCAGCUGACACGGCUUGAGGCCAAUGGGGCCUCCACCUUCCCCAGUACCCUUGGUCACUGCAGGCUGCUCUGACCACUGCCCCCCCCCCCCCCCCCCCCGCCACACCUCAGUACUCUUGUAGCAGCUUUCUUCUGAAUCACCCACUAGACUUGUUCAGACAUUGUCCCAGAUGGGAAUAUCACAUUUCAUGAAUCUUUAAGAAAAAUCUCCCAACCAGAUUAUCAGCUCCUGUGGUACCCACUGUAGGUGCUUUACAGAUACUCAGUGAAAAACAGUCCAAAGAAUAACUCUUAGAUGGGCACAUGUGAUGUGCCAGGUGCUGUUCUACCUGCUAUAGAAACUCAUUUAGCCCACAAAUAGCCUUCUGGGUCAAUAGUCUUAUUACCUCCCCUUUACAAAUGGGUAAACUGAGGUACAAGGAGGUUAAUUAACUUGCUAGGAAGCAGCAAAGCCAGGAUUUGAACUCCCAUGGAACAGCUCCAGAGACCAGUGGAUGUGUUAACACUUUUUGCCUUUGAUCGUGGCAGAGGGUGAAGGGGCUGCAGGUGACGCCCCAAGGGCUGGCCUAUCCCGAAGGUGCCUCUGAGCAAGCUGACUCUCUGAGUCUUAGGGGCUGACCACAGGUGAAAUUUGCACCUUGGCUGGCCUCUGCUAGCGUCUGUCUUUCUGAGCCUCCCUUUCCACAGGUGUGGAGCUGGGCGAUUUACUGCUUUUCCUCUGCCAUGCGGAGUGAAGAUGACUGCUGACUUCUGUUCUGGGUGGUAGUUCUGGAUUCAGGAGAAGGGUCAGAGGCUGGACACAGGCUCCUCCCAGAGGAGCCUUGGUUACUCAAGGUCCACAGGUGACUUUCAUAGGACAGCAUAGUUGGCCGGUGGCAGAGGGGGAACCUGAACCCAAGUCUCUGAGUUCCAGUUUCAUCGGCUGGCUGCCUGGAUCCUUCAUGCGUGGCCUGUCUCUGCUGUCCUCGGUUGUCCAAUCUGGAGGAGGAAAAUGGAGUCCCAGAGAGACGAAUGAUCAAGCCAUACGCCAGGAGCAGACUUGGGAAUCCUGUUGCUGAACUCAGCUGAGGUCAGAAACCUCAGUGAAGCUCCAUCCCUUUGAGAUGAUGAGGUGACACUUGAGUCGUCAGGUCGCAUUGAAAGGGCGGGCCUACGACGGCCAACUCCAUCUUGUUCUGUGUCCUUCACCUUGACCACGCCUCCUCCCCUUGAGUAACCACCCCCCCCCCAACAGGACUCGGACCCUUCCCCAGCCAAUCGGCUGAGGCCACAGCCAUUACCUCACCAAGUGCCCCUAGGCCCCAAUAAAACCUUUGUCCUUUUGAUACUUGC